AGAAAAGCCAAUCCACGAUGGAUUGAUGCACUUCUAGGUCAAUACAAAGGUCUUGAACCUAGUGUGAAGACUCAAGGUUACUAUGUUUAACAUGUGUUAAGACAUAAGCUUUCCUUGUGUCCACACUCACUCUGAAGAUACUCACAGACGAGUAUCCCCAAAACCUUGGCUCCUACUUGGCUUCUAUAAUCUGGUCCCUUUCUUUUCUGCCUCUCAUAGGUAGUACCUUUCUGUAGUCCUGGCACUGACUGGGUAAAUGCAUCAUGCUUAAAUCAUUUUGAUUGGGCCCUGAUAGAAGGACCCGUUAUAGAUUUAUUUUUCUUUUUACUUGGAAUUUUUACACAUAAGACUUUGAUAGUCUAUAUUUUCAACCAGAAAUUUUUCUUUUCUUUUUGAUUUUUCUGAUGUCUUUUUAAUAUCUCUUGCCAAUUGAUUCAUAUACCUCAUACCUCAGCCAUGCAUUCCUAAGUGAUUCUGUAUCUUUCAAUCACCCACAACACGGGGAAAUGUAAAUAUAUAUAUAUAUAUAUAUAUAUAUUAUUGUAAAUUGCAAAGUUUAAAUUCCUUUUGAGAAGAAUUUUAGGUAAAGAAAGAUGCAAACUCUCUGAAUCCAGAACUGAACUGUUGGAGAAGCCACCAUGAAGAAGCCUCCAGACCACAAGCUGCACAAGAUCAAAUUGAACUUUGGUGCAAUGGACAGGCAAGUUCAUCACUUCUCACACCUCCCAGAGACUUUCUCGGAUGUUGCUUUGAAUAGAGGAAACUGUCAUGGCACCCAAGCAUCCAGGACAUGGAAGAAACUUUACAGUCAAAACUUUGUUUGGCCAUCAACCCGCCCAGCUGAGACAAAAAGGCAAAGAAUACCGUCAUUUCUGUCUUUGUGUUCUUUUUUCCCCCACUGGAGAACUAAUUAGCCCAAAUUCAUUUUCUUUUCUUUCCUUUUUUUCUGAUCCCUAAAAGAUCUAAUUGAGGUUACUGAUGAAUGUGGUUGGCAAAAUAUAAACUUGUGUGUGGAAUGUCUUAAAGGGUGCUGCAUAAGGUUUCUUCCAAAAGUGCUCCUGGUUAUGUUCAAAAGGAGUUUUGUACAAUUUUCCCAUUAGAGUAUUAUACAUAACCAAGCAUUCCUUUUAUUAUACA
rnacentral:lncRNA from 1 species